rnacentral:rRNA from 1 species
UACGUAGAUGGCAAGCGUUGUCCGGAUUUAUUGGGCGUAAAGCGAGCGCAGGCGGUUCUUUAAGUCUGAUGUGAAAGCCCCCAGCUCAACUGGGGAAGGUCAUUGGAAACUGGGGAACUUGAGUGCAGAAGAGGAGAGUGGAAUUCCACGUGUAGCGGUGAAAUGCGUAGAUAUGUGGAGGAACACCAGUGGCGAAGGCGACUCUCUGGUCUGUAACUGACGCUGAGGCUCGAAAGCGUGGGGAGCAAACAGG